UUUAUGGGGCCAAGGAACCCCAGUCACCGUCUCCUCAGCCAGCACCAUGGCCCCAUCCAUCUUCACUCUGACCCCCAGCUGUGGGGACACUUCUAGCUCCACGGUGACCCUGGGAUGCCUAGUAAAGGGCUACUUCCCCGAGCCAGUGACAGUGUCCUGGAACUCUGGAGCCCUGUCCAGUGGUGUGCAUACCUACCCAGCUGUCCUGCAGUCCGGACUCUACACCCUCACCAGCUCAGUGACCAUACCUAGCAGCACCUGGUGCACCCAGCCUGUCACCUGCAAUGUAGCCCACCCACCCAGCAACACCAAGGUGGACAAGAAACUUGUGCCCAGCCACUCCUCGUCCAGUACGUGCACAAGUACAGAUCUCCUGGGGGGACCGUCCGUCUUCAUCUUCCCCCCGAAGCCCAAGGACGUACUCAUGAUCUCCCUGACCCCUAAGGUCACGUGUGUGGUGGUGGACAUGAGCCAGGAUGACCCCGAGGUCGAGUUCAGCUGGUUUGUGGAUGAUGUGGAGGUGCAUACGGCUCAGACACAGCCCCGGGAGGAACAGAGGAAUAGCACGUUCCGUGUGGUCAGCGUCCUCCCCAUAGAGCACCAGCACUGGCUGAAGGGCAAGGAGUUCAAGUGCAGGGUCAACAGCAAUAACCUCCCGGCUCCCAUCGAGAGAACCAUCUCCAGAGUCAAAGGGCAAGCCCAGGUGCCACAGGUUUACACCAUGCCCCCACCAAAGGAGCAGAUGGUCAACAGCAAGGUCAGUUUAACCUGCAUGAUCCUAGGCUUCUACCCCGCAGACAUGGCCGUGGAGUGGCAGAGGGACGGGCAGCAGGAGCAGGACUUCAAGAACACCCCGCCUGUCCUGGACUCGGACAAGACCUACUUCCUCUACAGCAAACUGACUGUGAGCAGGAAUGAUUGGGAAGAUGGGAACAUCUUCACCUGCACUGUGAUGCACGAGGCUCUGCACAACCAUAUCACACAGAAGACCAUCUCCAAGUCUCCGGAGAUGGUACUGGAUGAGACCUGUGCCGAGGCCCAGGACGGGGAGCUGGACGGGCUCUGGACGACCAUCACCAUCUUCAUCACCCUCUUCCUUCUCAGCGUGUGCUACAGCGCCACCGUCACUCUCUUCAAGGUGAAGUGGAUCUUCUCCUACUUGAUGGGGCUGAAGCAGACGGCCUACCCUGACUACAAGAACAUGAUCGGGCAGGGGUCCUAG